rnacentral:rRNA from 1 species
GGUUGAUCCUGCCAGUAGUCAUAUGCUUGUCUCAAAGAUUAAGCCAUGCAUGUCUAAGCACAAGCCCUUGAAUGGCAAAGCCGCACAUGGCUCAUUACAACAGCCAUAGUUUAUUAGAUCGUACUUUCCUACUUGGAUAACUGUGGUAAUUCUAGAGCUAAUACACGCAGCAAAGCUCGGACUCACGAACGAGCGCAUUUAUUAGAGCAAAACCAAUCGGGUUUCGGCCCGUCCUUUGGUGAAUCUGAAUAACUCUGCAGAUCGCACGGUCUCGCACCGGCGACGCAUCUUU